rnacentral:rRNA from 1 species
GACGAACGCUGGCGGCGUGCUUAACACAUGCAAGUCGAACGGAAAGGCCCUGCUUUUGUGGGGUGCUCGAGUGGCGAACGGGUGAGUAACACGUGAGUAACCUGCCCUUGACUUUGGGAUAACUUCAGGAAACUGGGGCUAAUACCGGAUAGGAGCUCCUGCUGCAUGUGGGGGUUGGAAAGUUUCGGCGGUUGGGGAUGGACUCGCGGCUUAUCAGCUUGUUGGUGGGGUAGUGGCUUACCAAGGCUUUGACGGGUAGCCGGCCUGAGAGGGUGACCGGCCACAUUGGGACUGAGAUACGGCACAGACUCCUACGGGAGGCAGCAGUGGGGAAUAUUGCACAAUGGGCGGAAGCCUGAUGCAGCAACGCCGCGUGCGGGAUGACGGCCUUCGGGUUGUAUACCGCUUUCGCCUGUGACGAAGCGUGAGUGACGGUAAUGGGUAAAGAAGCACCGGCUAACUACGUG